GUACGAGCGUUUCAUUAGAUUGUAUCACUGUGGUACACAUUCGGUGGAGGAACUAAACUGGUGAUCGCUGGUCCCACAGUGAAGCCCUCAGUGUCUCUGCUGCCGCCCUCUUCUCUGCAGAUCUCUGGAGACUCAGCCGCACUGCUCUGCCUGCUCAGCUCUUACUCUCCACAGGGGGCGCUGGUGAGCUGGACACUGGACGGGUCAGAGGUCACCGAGGGGGUUCUGACCAGCGCAGAGAGCCAGCAGGACGGCCGCUACAGCCGCAGUAGCGUCCUGACCCUCAGCAAAGCACGCUGGGAAGAGGGAGAGCUGUACGUCUGCAGAGUAACACAUGAUGGUGCUCCUCAUGAGGUCUCGUUCCACAAGAGCUCUGAGUGCUGAUGUUUCUCUCCUGAAGAUGAGCCGUAUCUGAGUGUCCUGUGUCAGGCAGGAUUCACAUGAGUCUAGUGCUGCAGCUGUAGUGCUUUACAACUCCAUACUGAAAGAGUGUGUGUGUGUGUGUGUGUGUGUGUGAUCUUUCAAUCUGCUGUGUUUGCUGCAACAUUCAAUAAAGCUUCUCAACAAGUUCA